rnacentral:rRNA from 1 species
CGCAUUACAUGGAUGCCUCGACUCUGUACUCCGAAGAAGGACGUGGCCAGCUGCGAUAAGCCUCGGUAAGCCGCUAGGCAGGCGCUAUAGCCGGGGAUUUCCGAAUGAGGAAACUCCAUCUCCGUUAUGGGAGAUGACCCUGAACCGUAAGGUACAGGGAGGUUACUCUGACAACUGAAACAUCUCAGUAGCAGAGGAAAAGAAAUCAAUAGAGAUUCCCAAAGUAGUGGCGAGCGAAAUGGGAACAGGCCAAACCCCACUGUUUUAUUGGUGGGGGGUUGUAGGGCCCCAAUAUCCGAUUGUUUCUGCAUAGACGAACGACCCUGGAACGGGCGGCCAAAGUGGGUGAGAGCCCCGUAGCCGAAAUGUAGAAAAAGCGAGUCUUAAAUAAGGCGUACAUAGUCGCUGGCACUAGACCCGAAACCGGGUGAGCUACCCAUGGGCAGGGUGAAGGGCGUCGGAAGACGUCUGGAGGCCCGAACCAUUAAGUGUCACAAGACUUAGGGAUGACCUGUGGGUAGGGGUGAAAAGCCUAUCGAACCCGGAGAUAGCUGGUUCUCCUCGAAAUGCCUUUAGGGGCAGCCUCGUCUCGCAAGAUGGGGGGUAGAGCUACUGUUUGGAUGCGGGGGUCACCUCGACCUGCCAAAUCCUGGCAAACUCCGAAUACCCAUCCUUAGGAGACGGGAGUGAGACGGUGACGGCAAAGCGCCAUCGUCGAAAGGGAAAGAGCCCAGAUCAUUUGCUAAGGUCCCAAAUGUCCGUUCAGUGUAGAAGGAGGUGUAGAUGCAUGGACAACCAGGAGGUUGGCUUAGAAGCAGCCAUCCUUUAAAGAAAGCGUAACAGCUCACUGGUCUAUUGCAUUUAUGCGCCGAAAAUUCAACGGGGCAAAACGGACAACCGAAGCAGUGAAUGUGUGGGGUCACUUUUGGAUUCUGUGGAGCUGGGAUUUAUUUAAGAGCCUCUGUAUCCCACUUCGGUGGGGUGCAUGUUCUCCAGAAAGGCGAGUGGUACGCUAGAAGCGGCGUAACGGAGCGGGAGCACCAGAGCGUGUGUAUUGACUGCACGUGGAACACGUGAAGCGUUGAUCCUGACAGGCAAAUCCGUCAGGAGAGCUGAGCGUGGAUCCCAAAUGUCCGCCUUUGGCGGAUAAGUCUGGCUGGUUCUGUUUCCAAGAAAACCGUCGCUUCGAGAGUUUUGUGAGACCGUACCGCAAACCAACACCGGUGGGGUGGUCGAGUAGACCAAGGCGAACGAGUAAUUACGCGUUAAGGAACUCGGCAAAACAGCGUCCGUAACUUCGGGAUAAGGACUGACCCUGUACCUUCUGGUACAGGGCCCGCAGCAAAAGAGCUCAGGCGACUGUUUACCAAAAACACAGGUCCCUGCAAAGUCGCAAGACAACGUAUAGGGGCUGAUGCCUGCCCAGUGUCAGAAGGUCACGUGAGAGGGUGUAUGCCCUUGAUCUAAGCCCUGAUGAACGGCGGCCGUAACUAUAACGGUCCUAAGGUAGCGAAAUUCCUUGUCGGGUGGUCGAUAAGCAACUUGCCCGAAUCCCGCGUAAGCGGGAGCACUGGGGAAUUCCGUGAAUGGCAUAUUCAGUGCAAAACGUGGCUAUAUGCUGGAACAUCCGGGUAUGGAGCACUACGUACUAAUUAAAAUGGAAAAUUAGUAUGUGAGAAUGUGACUUCUGCGGACAAUCAGCAGGAAACCUUAAGUAAGAGGGAUCCUCAGAGACUAUACGCCAUGCUCCCACAGAGCUCACUUGAGUAAAGUGGGAUGAUGAUAGAGUCCGAUCCCCAUGGCGACAUGGGGUGUAGAGGAGCACUGUCUCGACGCGGAGCUCGGUGAAAUUGCAAUCCCGGUGCAAAUGCCGGGUAGACUACGGAAGGACGAAAAGACCCUAUGAAGCUUUACUAUAGGCUGACAUUGUAUUGUCGGUUUGCAUAUGCAGGAUAGGUGGGAGGCUUUGAAGCGGGGGCGCUAGCCCUCGUGGAGCCACCCUUGAGAUACCACCUCUGCGUUCUGGCAGUACUCACCUCGUCUCUGAAACAGAGCGGGGGACAGUGUUUGCUGGGUAGUUUAACUGGGGCGGUUGCCUCCUAAAAUGUAACGGAGGCGCGCAAUGGUCCACUAGCGCCGGAUGGAAAUCGGCGUCGUCGUGUAAUCGCACAAGUGGGCCUGACUGUGAGGCUUACAGGCCGAGCAGAGACGAAAGUCGGUGAUAGUGAUCCGGCACCUUGACACUAAUUUAUUGGUGUCGUUCCACGUGGGUGGGGUGUCGCUCAACGGAUAAAAGUUACUCUAGGGAUAACAGGCUGAUCGCUCCCAAGCGCCCACAGCGACGGAGCGGUUUGGCACCUCAAUCGGGGUGCUGCAGGAGUGAUCCUGUACCAAAAAUUCGGCUUAUAACGGUGGAACCGUCACGGGCAUUGUGAAAAUGCGUGCCCGCCGGUAAUACCGUGGGAAGUCCCUCGCACAUGCGGGGUGACCCCGUAACGACUGACCCGAAAGGGGAGAGUCCUUAUUACAUUAAGGGCUAACACGCCGAUUCCUGCUCCAUUAAAUCAGGUUUUGGUUGUAAAACUUACAACCUACGAUCGAUUGCAGGAAAAAGAUAUAGUCUGCACCAUAUGAAAGUAUGGAUGAAGUACGAUGUCGGCUCAUCGCAUCCUGGGGCUGAAGAAGGUCCCAAGGGUUUGGCUGUUCGCCAAUCAAAGCGGUACGCGAGCUGGGUUCAGAACGUCGUGAGACAGUUUGGCCUCUAUCCUCCGUGGUCAUUUAGAAACGUGAAGGAAGCUGCUCCUAGUACGAGAGGACCGGAGUGGACGAACCUCUGGUGUACCUGUUGUCGCGUCAGCGGCAAAGCAGGAUAGCUAUGUUCGGCAAGGAUAACCGCUGAAGGCAUCUAAGCGGGAAGCCCCUCCUGAGAUAGCGUUUCUCCAUAAGCCCGCCGGAAGACGACCGGUUAGAUCGGCCACAGGUGUACGCACGGUAACGUGUUAAGCUGAGUGGUACGAACGGGC